AAGUGAUUGAGUAGAUACCUACUGGUGUCAGGCAUUGUUCUAGGCACUGGGAAUACAGCAGCAAACAAAAUAGAUCACCCCUUGGGGCUUUCAAGUGGAGUAUCGGUGACAGAGUGGGUGUCUGAUUGGAUAUCGGGGAAAAGGAGAAAGGUGCGAUGAGGCAAUUCAGGGGUCAUUGGUACCUGGAUUUUUCACCUUGAACAACUAAGUGAUAUCAUUGGACUUGUU
rnacentral:lncRNA from 1 species